rnacentral:rRNA from 1 species
GACAGAGGGUGCGAACGUUGUUCGGAAUUACUGGGCGUAAAGCGCACGUAGGCGGAUUGCUAAGUCAGGGGUGAAAUCCUGGAGCUCAACUCCAGAACUGCCCUUGAUACUGGCGGUCUCGAGUCCGGGAGAGGUGAGUGGAACUGCGAGUGUAGAGGUGAAAUUCGUAGAUAUUCGCAAGAACACCAGUGGCGAAGGCGGCUCACUGGCCCGAUACUGACGCUGAGGCACGAAAGCGUGGGGAGCAAACAGG